rnacentral:rRNA from 1 species
AUUGAACGCUGGCGGCAGGCCUAACACAUGCAAGUCGAACGGUAACAGGAAGAAGCUUGCUUCUUUGCUGAUGAGUGGCGGACGGGUGAGUAAUGUCUGGGAAACUGCCUGAUGGAGGGGGAUAACUACUGGAAACGGUAGCUAAUACCGCAUAACGUCGCAAGACCAAAAAGGGGGACCUUCUGGCCUCUUGCCAUCGGAUGUGCCCAGAUGGGAUUAGCUAGUAGGUGGGGUAACGGCUCACCUAGGCGACGAUCCCUAGCUGGUCUGAGAGGAUGACCAGCCACACUGGAACUGAGACACGGUCCAGACUCCUACGGGAGGCAGCAGUGGGGAAUAUUGCACAAUGGGCGCAAGCCUGAUGCAGCCAUGCCGCGUGUAUGAAGAAGGCCUUCGGGUUGUAAAGUACUUUCAGCGGGGAGGAAGGGAGUAAAGUUAAUACCUUUGCUCAUUGACGUUACCCGAAGAAGAAGCACCGGCUAACUCCGUG